UACGUAGGGGCCUAGCGUUGUCCGGAUUUAUUGGGCGUAAAGAGCUCGUAGGCGGUUUGGUGAGUCGGGUGUGAAAUCUCCACGCUCAACGUGGAGGGGCCACCCGAUACUGCCAUGACUAGAGUCCGGUAGGGGAGUGUGGAAUUCCCGGUGUAGCGGUGAAAUGCGCAGAUAUCAGGAGGAACACCGGUGGCGAAGGCGGAUCUCUGGGCCUUACCUGACGCUCAGGUGCGAAAGCUAGGGGAGCGAACAGG
rnacentral:rRNA from 1 species